rnacentral:rRNA from 1 species
GACGAACGCUGGCGGCGUGCUUAACACAUGCAAGUCGAACGGAAAGGCCUCUUUCGGGGGGUCCUCGGGUGGCGAACGGGUGGGUAACACGUGAGUAACCUGCCCUUUACUUUGUGAUAACUUCAGGCAACUGGGGCUAAUACCGGAUAGGAGCUCCUGCUGCAUGGUGGGGGUUGGAAAGUUUCGGCGGUUGGGGGUGGACUGGCGGGUUAUCCGCUUGUGGGGGGGGGAGUGGCUUACCACGGCUUUGGCGGGUAGCCGGCCUGAGGGGGUGAGCGGCCGCACUGGGUCCGAGGGGCGGCACAGACGGCUACGGGAGGAAGCAGGGGGGAAGACUGCACAAGGGGUGGAAGCCGGAUGCAGCAGGGCCGUGUGCGGGAUGACGGCCUUGGGGGUGUAGACCGGUUUCGCGCAUGACGAAGCGUUGUGUGACGGUAGUGGGUAAAGAAGCACCGGCUAACUACGUG